UACGGAGGGUGCAAGCGUUAUCCGGAUUCACUGGGUUUAAAGGGUGCGUAGGCGGGCAGGUAAGUCAGUGGUGAAAUCUCCAAGCUUAACUUGGAACUGCCGUUGAUACUAUCUGUCUUGAAUACUGUGGAGGUGAGCGGAAUAUGUCAUGUAGCGGUGAAAUGCUUAGAUAUGACAUAGAACACCAAUUGCGAAGGCAGCUCACUACACAGCCAUUGACGCUGAGGCACGAAAGCGUGGGGAUCAAACAGG
rnacentral:rRNA from 1 species